rnacentral:rRNA from 1 species
GACGAACGCUGGCGGCGUGCUUAACACAUGCAAGUCGAACGAAGUGGCGAACGGGUGAGUAACGCGUAAUCAACCUGCCCUUCAGAGGGGGACAACAGUUGGAAACGACUGCUAAUACCGAAUACUGAAGGAGGGGAUUGCGUCUGAUUGGCUAGUUGGCGGGGUAACGGCCAACGAAGGCGAUGAUCAGUCGCCGGUCUGAGAGGAUGAACGGCCACAUUGGAACUGAGACACGGCCCAGACUCCUACGGGAGGCAGCAGUGGGGAAUCUUCCGCAAUGGACGGAAGUCUGACGGAGCAACGCCGCGUGAGUGAUGACGGCCUUCGGGUUGUAAAGCUCUGUUAAUCGGGACGCGGUACCGGAAUAGAAGGCCACGGCUAACUACGGGCCAGCAGCCGCGGUAAUAC